UAGUCUUGUUCCCAAGGAAGAAAUACUUCUAAUAGGGGACAUAGCAAUGGUUUCAUUAAACAGGGAGUUAACAUUGCCAAAUUGGCCACCUGCCUUCCUCAUGCCAGUGAAUCAAGAGGUUUACUUUAUGGAGUUUCACUCUUGUUGCCCUGGCUGGAGUGUAACAGCGUGAUCUCGGCUCACUGCAACCUCCGCCUCUCAGGUUCAAGCGAUUCUCCUGCCUCAGCCUCUCGAGUAGCUGGGAUUACAGGUAUGCGCCAUCAUGCCUGCCUAAUUUUGUAUUUUUAGUAGAGAAGGGUUUCACCAUGUUGCCCAGGCUGGUGUCGAACUCCUGACCUCAGGUGAUCCACCUGCCUCGGCCUCCCAAAGUGCUGAGAUUAUAGAUGUGAGCCACUGUGCCUGGCCAGGAAAGUAUUUAUAAAGCAUUUAGAACCGUGCUUGGUAUACUUAAAUGUUUUUAGGUUAAAGUGAAUGUUAUUAAAGCAAGAGAUAAUGGUUAUUUGUGAACAGGAAGCACUUAAUUUUCAGGCCCUUUCAUUUUUCAUAUUUAACCCAUCACCAAAUUUUGUUGAGUUUACCUCUUAAACUGUCUCCAUGUCUCACCCUGAAUCCACCCUGGAGGAAGGAAAAGGAAGGAAGGAAGGAAGGAAGGAAGGAAGGAAGGAAAGAAGGAAGGAAGGAAAGAAAGAAAACUCCACUAUGAACUACAAAACUCUAUAUACCUAGCUCCAGACUACACUUUGGGCUUCUCAAUCCCCAGGCUUUCAGCACUCUAGCCCCAAAUCCCUUGUUUAAGUUUAUUUUGUAGACAUACUGUGCUUCCUUCAUUCACAAUUUCCUUACACACAGUCUUCUCUCUGCCUGAAAUAUACCCACCCUUCCUUUCCUCCUUUAAUUGACGCCUAUUCCUUUUUUUGGAUUUGAAUUAAUUAUUACGUUUUAUGUCAAGUCUUAGUAACUACCUAGGUAAGGUCAGGUCCCCUUACUCUCAAAAGAAUGUGAUUUUUCCUAGAAAGCACAUAUCAAAGUUUGUGAUAAUGCUAAUUUAUUGUUGAGGGUUUUUUAAAUUUUGUCUAUUUUUCUAUAUUGUGAACUCAUUAAAGGUAAUAAGUAGGUCUGUUUCAUUGAUAUUGUUCAAAACUCUAUUUCUACCUCAUAGCACGUGUCUGACACAUAGCAGGCAUUCAAGAAAUACAUGUGAUGGAAGACAUGAAUACCUAUGAAGAAAAUUACGCUAUGUUAUUGAUGAAAGCUAAUACAAAUAUGCUGCUAAGAACGGAUUCAGGGGUAUCCGUUAGUAGGUAGAAUUGGAAUUAUACCCUGAGACAACCUAUGCAUAAUAAUUUAAAAAUGACUCAACAAUAACUUUAUAUUCAGAAAUGUGCUAUGACUUUUAAAAUAUCUCCCCAAUAAGCAACUGAUUCUGAAUCAGUAGAAAUUAUAAAACAUAUACACUAAUAAAACAACAGAACAUUUCGUUAUUCUUUAUUGGAAAAUGUAUAAACACAAUCAAGGGUAGAGAGUACAAUAAACCCUAUACACCCAUCAUUGACAUCAAUAAUCAAUGCUAUGGCAUACUCAUUUUGUCUAUCUACCCACUUUCCCUGGUGAAGUUUUUUAAAACAAAUUCCCAAAAUAGUCAUUUAAUUUCUAAAUAUUUCAGUAUAUUUCUUUGAAAUAUCAAUAGGAAUAUUUUCUUACACAACCACAUUGACAUUAUCUCACUUAAGAAAAUUGAACAUCCAGGCAAUAUACAAUACCUACUCCAUAUUCAGAUUUCCUCUCUUAUCUAAAUUUAUUUUUACAGUUGGUUUAUUCAACUCAGGAUCCAAAUAAAGUCCACUCAUUGUACUUGGUUAUUAUGGAAAUAGUAAUGUGUUUAAAAAAGUAUAUCUGUUCAAUAACAGAUCUCAUAACUUAUGUCUCUAUACCAGAUAGCUAAGAAUAUAUAGAUAUUUUCACUUCAUUUUAGUAAUCACAAGCAUGACAAAGUAAAGACAACUACAAAUUUUUUGAAAUGCCUCCAGUUAAGAAGUGGAAGCAGUGUCCUCUCUUCUUGAAUACGCUUUGGAAAACUGAAUAUGGUAGAAAUGAUAGUGUGCCAAUUUGGGGGCUCAGGACUUAAGAAACCAGAAGCUUCCAGCUUUGUUUCUUAGAAGAUUCUCUUUGCAAACUCUAAGUUACCAUGCAAGAAAUCUGAGUAUGCUGAAAGCACAAUUAUGGAGAGGCCACAGAUAGGUGCUCUAGUUAAGAGUCCCAGCAAUACCCAGUGCUGCAGUCAUCCCAAUCAAGACAUCAGAUAUGCGAGUGAAGCUGUCUUGGGCCCUCCAAACAAGCCCAUAUGCCAGGUGAAUAGCACCUGGUGGUCUUAGUCAACACCAUAGGUAUCAGAAGAAUUGCCCAACUGAGUCACUAUAUUCUUGACUUCCAGACUGUGAGGUAUUAUACAUGCUUGUUGUUUUAAGAUGCAAAGUUUUGGGGUCAUUUGUUAAGUAGCAAUAGCUACCAAGAAAUAGCUACCUAACAGAAAAUAUGCUUUUCUUAGAACUGCCUUGAAACUUCUGACUGUUCUUUAGUAACAGUAGGUUAUCAUUCCCCUACGCUCAAACUAAACAUGUUUAAUGGAACCCACUGAUAUAACCCAAGAAUGUAAUCAUUUAGCCCUGCCAUUUUUUUUACAUCUGGAACAAUCUCUCCCAAAUCCUUAGUGUGGGGGGAGUGCAUUGAUAACUAGUUUAGUUAAUCACAUCUUUUGCCAGUAAUACUAUAGAUUUUCCUCUCAGCUUCCAAGGUCAAUAGAGCUAUAUUUUAAAUAUGCAUUGGAAGAACGGCACAGAAACGCAUCCAGACAAGGGUCAGAGAAAAAUGGAAGAAAAUAAAUGAAAGCUACAGAGACAUUAAAUGUUUAAUGGUUAGCUUCCAGGCUGCUUCAUGCUACUUUAAGCCCUUAUAUAUGCUUCAAUGUUGUUCCCACUUUUAAAGUUUAACUAAUUUCACCUUGUAAGCUUUUUAAAUGUGUGAGGAAAAAAUAAAUUAUUCUAAAAUAAUGCUUUCAAAUGUUUUAAAUAUUUUUUCCAUGAAGAGCUAGUACCAAGGGGUUAAACUAGAGAUUUUUUAGGACAUUUCAUCCAGAAAGUGAGAUUUCAAAUCAAAGAGAUUCUUCACAAUGUCUAUGUCUGUGUAUUGUAUUCCACUGAGAAAACACUCUGUUGCUCUUAAGCAUCCUCUGAUGCUCUUCCAAACAGCAUUUUCAGUUUAGUAUCUCUGGAAAUAUGAGCAAAUGUCAAAAUUUCCUUCCAAUUAUCUCUUAUUAGUUUAAUUUUUUGAACCAAAAAAAAAAAUAAAGUGUUUCCUUGAACAACUGUGGUCAAUUUCUUUCUUGUUGGCACAAAAGAACAUCACAUGUAAUAUUUCUGUGAAAUAACUUCUUUGAGUCACAAAUAUAGUAUAUCGUGAGUCUUUUUCUUAUAGUACUUAUUCAUAAGAAACUUUUUUUUUUCUUUUUCAGGUACUCUUUUCUAAAUUUCCAACAUCUUUUUCCCCUUUCCUUUAUUUAUUUGCGUUUUAAACAACUUCAUUUAUAAAUCUGGUGACCAAGCACAGGGACUGCAGCCAAAGCACAUUGUAUCUGGUUCUCUUUCAAAAAGACAAGAACAUAUUUCUUUUUAGAGUGAUCAAAGGGACAGGGCAGUUGGCAAAUUUCAAAGCAUGAUUAUGGGUUAAACAUUGUCCUGUUCCCUCAAUGGCCAACUGUUGAAAUAAUUCAUUGGCUAAGAAAGUCUCAGUUACUUUUUCUGGAUAAGGUUUGGGUUUUAAUUAUAUCUGGGCAGUUAGAAAAUGCAAUUCUUUCCUAUGGCUCACAAAUAAUAAAUUUCAAAUCUAUAUGUCAAUGGCAGAAUGAAAACAUUGAAACAUUUUCCAGGAACCAAAUAGCUGGCAUCUUGCUGAUGUAUCCUUAGUUAGAAACCACAGCUGAAAGCUCUGUGGUGACUCCUAACCAACAAGUGCUAACAGGUUUUUUCUCCAAAUGUCCCCCAUGAAAGACAGAUAUAGGGCACUCCGUCACUGUAAAUCCCUGCUUGCCUUCUAACAAAA
rnacentral:lncRNA from 10 species